CAGAGUAGCCCUUCGCCCUCCAUAACAAUUCCAGCCUCUCCUUUCAUGCAGAAGCUUGGCUAUGGGACUGGAGUCAGCGUUUACCUGAUGAAAAGGUCUCCGAAAGGCAUGCCUUGCUCUCCCUGGGCCGUGAAGAAAAUCAAUCCCGGAUGUGACUCCAACCAGCGAAAUACGUAUCAAAAGCGGCUGAAUGAGGAAGCCAGCAUUCUGAAAAA